rnacentral:rRNA from 1 species
AGAGUUGAUCAUGGCUCAGGAUGAACGCUAGCUACAGGCUUAACACAUGCAAGUCGAGGGGCAGCAGAUCGAUAGCUUGCUAUUGAUGCUGGCGACCGGCGCACGGGUGAGUAACGCGUAUCCAACCUUCCCUAUAGUAGAGGAUAGCCCGGCGAAAGUCGGAUUAAUACUCUAUGUUUUCCAAUGCAGACAUCUAAGUUGGAACAAAGGUUCACCGCUAUAGGAUGGGGAUGCGUCUGAUUAGGUUGUUGGCGGGGUAACGGCCCACCAAGCCGACGAUCAGUAGGGGUUCUGAGAGGAAGGUCCCCCACAUUGGAACUGAGACACGGUCCAAACUCCUACGGGAGGCAGCAGUGAGGAAUAUUGGUCAAUGGGCGAGAGCCUGAACCAGCCAAAGUAGCGUGCAGGAUGACGGCCCUAUGGGUUGUAAACUGCUUUUAUACGGGGAUAAAGUGAGGGACGUGUCCCUUUUUGUAGGUACCGUAUGAAUAAGGACCGGCUAAUUCCGUGCCAGCCGCUGC